UGUUGCAUCUACUACAAUCUGGUAUGAAAGAGGAAGGGAUUUAGGAAAUGCACCAGCCAUUCAAGUUAAUGUCAAAGAAACCAGUUCUCAAUGUAGGGGAAUGAAAUUCUUCGUUGUGUCAUUCAGAGGAGAUGCAGAAAGGACUAUUUUAGCUGAAGAUACUAGAGAUCAGUCUGAUACCAUGGAUGAACCAGCUGAGCAAUCCGAUGGAUUGAAUUAUGUGGAGGUGUUGACGGAGCCGCUUACAUCAAGACAAACCGGAAUUCGAGGAAUAGACAACAUAACAAUGUAUACAGAAAUUGAGCAUUCAUUAAAGUCAUA